AUUGAACGCUGGCGGCAUGCCUUACACAUGCAAGUCGAACGGCAGCACGGGGGCAACCCUGGUGGCGAGUGGCGAACGGGUGAGUAACACAUCGGAACGUGUCCUGUUGUGGGGGAUAACUAGUCGAAAGAUUAGCUAAUACCGCAUCACCUCGGGAGAGAAAAGCAGGGGAUCGCAAGACCUUGGCCGCUUGGAGCGGUCGAUGUCCGAUUAGCUAGUUGGCGGGGUAAAGGCACACCAAGGCGACGAUCGGUAGCUGGUCUGAGAGGAUGAUCAGCCACACUGGGACUGAGACACGGCCCAGACUCCUACGGGAGGCAGCAGUGGGGAAUUUUGGACAAUGGGGGCAACCCUGAUCCAGCCAUGCCGCGUGAGUGAAGAAGGCCUUCGGGUUGUAAAGCUCUUUCGGUGGGAACGAAACGGUGGAUGCUAAUACCGUCCACUACUGACGGUACUCACAGAAGAAGCACCGGCUAACUACGUGCCAGCCGCCGCGGUAAGAC
rnacentral:rRNA from 1 species